GUGAUCCCUUCAGCAGCACAUAAACUAAAAUUGGAAUAAUACAAAAAAGAUUAGCAAGGCCCCUGCACAAGGAUGACAUGCAAAUUCAUAAAGCACCCAGAAGUGAG
ensembl:snRNA U6 U6 spliceosomal RNA